CCUACGGGAGGCAGCAGUAGGGAAUCUUCCACAAUGGGCGAAAGCCUGAUGGAGCAACGCCGCGUGGGUAAAGAAGGUCUUCGGAUCGUAAAACCCUGUUGUUAGAGAAGAAAGUGCGUGAGAGUAACUGUUCACGUUUCGACGGUAUCUAACCAGACAGCCACGGCUAACUACGUGCCAGCAGCCGCGGUAAUACGUAGGUGGCAAGCGUUAUCCGGAUUUAUUGGGCGUAAAGGGAACGCAGGCGGUCUUUUAAGUCUGAUGUGAAAGCCUUCGGCUUAACCGGAGUAGUGCAUUGGAAACUGGGAGACUGGAGUGCAGAAGAGGAGAGUGGAACUCCAUGUGUAGCGGUGAAAUGCGUAGAUAUAUGGAAGAACACCAGUGGCGAAAGCGGCUCUCUGGUCUGUAACUGACGCUGAGGUUCGAAAGCGUGGGUAGCAAACAGGAUUAGAUACCCUGGUAGUC
rnacentral:rRNA from 1 species